rnacentral:tRNA from 1 species
UAGCACAAUGGUUAAGUGCUUGGCUUCUAACCAAAGGUCGGUGGUUCAAACCCAUC